rnacentral:rRNA from 2 species
UGACCUCAAAUCAGGUAGGACUACCCGCUGAACUUAAGCAUAUCAAUAAGCGGAGGAAAAGAAACUAACAAGGAUUCCCCUAGUAACUGCGAGUGAA